GGGCCGGGGCGGGGGUCGCGGCCGCGCUGCCCUGCGGGGUAAGGUGUGCCGUGCACCGCGGGUGAGGUGUGCUGUGCACCCUGGGUGAGGUGUGCUGUGCACCCCGGGUAAGGUGUGCUGUGCACCCUGGGUGAGGUGUGCUGUGCACCCCGGGUAAGGUGUGCCGUGCACCGCGGGUGAGGUGUGCUGUGCACCGCGGCCUCUCUCUGCCCUCAGAGGCCUCUGAGUCUCGCUCCGACACUGAGGUCUGGUUGAUCCCGUCUUAGCCGAGAUACCUGUCCCGGGAGGGCAGGUGAGGACGGCAGGGAUCCUACACGGCGCCGCAGUCAGUGGGCAGAGACAGCCCCGGGCAGCACCUGGGGCUGCUCCUGCUCACGCAUCCCUCCUUCCUGGGCUGCUGGAGGAGCUGAGGGAUGGAGCUUCUGCCUGCGAGUCUGGAUGUGGCCAAGGUCCUGCACUGGGUGAGCACAGAUCCCCUCGGCGGUGACUGGUUCCUGGACCAAACAGCUGAUUCCCAACAGGAAUCAUCCUGAGUUAAACCUGAAUCCUGCACCCUUCUAUGGACUAUGGCUGACUAUGGGAGUGCUUUGAGACCAGAGCUUCCCCCUCUCUACCCCGGAGUUAAUUAUUAGGGGGAUUUUUGCAUUUAAUUUAAAAAUGAGUUUAACUUUGCCUCAAAUACUAUUUUUCAGCCUAAUUGAAACAUAGUGUGUGUGUCUUCUAAUUGCUUUGAAGAACCUAAUAAGCGGCUCCGUAAAAUCUAAAGGCUAAAAGCUGGAGGGUUUUAAUAAAUUUAACAUUAGCUUAACAUCUCCACAGGGACUGUAAAAUAUCUACUCAUAAGGAUAUUUGCUUGAGCUAAGCCAUUCAAUUUAUCCCUGCAGGUUAGCAUGUAUGUGAUAUGCGAACACUCCAAUUUUUUUAUUUUUCUCAUUAUUUUAGAACUUUUUUCCAAUUUUUCAAAUAUUUUAAAAUAAAAGUUGUUUUUACUUUUAAA